rnacentral:tRNA from 1 species
GCCUGGGUGGCUCAGUCGGUUAAGUGUCUGACUUUGGCUCAGAUCAUGAUCUCAUGGUUUGUGAGUUCGAGCCCCGCAUCAGGCU